GACGAACGCUGGCGGUAUGCUUAACACAUGCAAGUCGAACGAGAAGAUUAUGAUUAAGCCUUCGGGCGAGAGAUUAAUUGGAAAGUGGCGAACGGGUGAGUAACGCGUGGGUAACCUGCCCUAUGGAAAGGAAUAGCCUCGGGAAACUGGGAGUAAUGCCUUAUGACAUAGAGAAGUCGCAUGGCUUUUCUAUCAAACGCUCCGGUGCCAUAGGAUGGACCCGCGUCCCAUUAGCUGGUUGGUGAGGUAACGGCUCACCAAGGCGACGAUGGGUAACCGGUCUGAGAGGGCGAACGGUCACACUGGAACUGAGACACGGUCCAGACUCCUACGGGAGGCAGCAGUGGGGAAUAUUGCGCAAUGGGGGAAACCCUGACGCAGCAAUACCGCGUGAAUGAAGAAGGUCUUCGGAUCGUAAAGUUCUGUUAUUGGGGAAGAACAAAGACGGUACCCAAGGAGAAAGUCCCGGCUAACUACGUGCCAGCAGCCGCGGUAAUACGUAGGGGACAAGCGUUGUCCGGAUUUACUGGGCGUAAAGGGCACGCAGGCGGUUUUUUAAGUCAGAUGUGAAAGGUCCCGGCUCAACCGGGGAACGGCAUUUGAAACUGGAGAACUUGAGUAUUGGAGAGGCAAGUGGAAUUCCUAGUGUAGCGGUGAAAUGCGUAGAGAUUAGGAGGAACACCAGUGGCGAAGGCGGCUUGCUGGACAAAUACUGACGCUGAGGUGCGAAAGCGUGGGGAGCAAACA
rnacentral:rRNA from 1 species